ACACAACGAUUGUUUCUUCUUUCAAAUAAAACAAAAAUGAACAAAGAAAGUUACCCUCUAUUCCACAAUAGCUCUCAUCCCAAACUUGGACGUAUUAAGUUCGCAAAAUAAAAAUAAUUAAAAUAGUGUCGAAAAUGAUGAUGGAGAAAAAAAUAUUUUUCCUAUAGUGAGAGGUUUUUUGAACAAAGAAAGAUCGGAAAAAUUAUGAUAAAAAUUUCAAAUUUAUUUUUUUUUCUCAAAAAUGCUUAGAACCAAAUGUAUACUG